AGAGUUUGAUCAUGGCUCAGGACGAACGCUGGCGGCGUGGAUUAGGCAUGCAAGUCGAACGGUAUAAACCUUUCGGGGUUUAGAGAGUGGCGAACGGGUGAGUAACACGUAGGUAAUCUACCCUCAAAACGGGGACAACCCAGGGAAACUUGGGCUAAUACCGGAUGCGUGCAAGCAAUGUUUGGGUUGUUAAUGCUAUUCACGGAAGUGAGUAGUGUUAAUGGUUAAGAGCAUUAUUUGCAUAAAAGGUGGCAUAUGCUGCCGUUUGAGGAUGAGCCUGCGUCCUAUUAGUUAGUUGGUGAGGUAAUGGCUUACCAAGGCGAUGAUAGGUAGGCGGCCUUAACGGGUGGUCGCCCACACUGGGAUUGAGAGACGGCCCAGGCUCCUACGGGAGGCAGCAGUCGAGAAUAGUCUACAAUGGACGGAAGUCUGAUAGUGCGACGCCGCGUGAACGAAGAAUCCCUUCGGGGUGUAAAGUUCUUUUAUACGUGAGCAGUGCCCUUUAUAUGAAUAGUAUAGAGGGAGGGAUUUAAGCGUAUGAAUAAGCAACGGCUAACUCCGUGCCAGCAGCCGCGGUAACACGGGGGUUGCAAGCGUUGUCCGGAAUUACUAGGCGUAAGGUGCAGGUAGGCGGAUAGAUAAGUUUAAGGUUAAAGGCUACGGCUUACCCGUAGUAAGGCGUUAGAUACUGUUUAUCUGGAAUGCGGUUGAGGGAGACAGAAUUCCUGGUGUAGCGGUGGAAUGCGCAGAGAUCAGGAGGAAUACCGAAGGCGAAGGCAGUCUUCUAAGCCGAUAUUGACGCUAAACUGCGAAGGUGUGGGGAUCAAACAGGAUUAGAUACCCUGGUAGUCCACACAGUAAACGAUAAUCACUAGGUGUUGGGUUCGUAUAGGACUCGGUGCCGGAGCUAACGCGAUAAGUGAUUCGCCUGGGGAGUACGAUCGCAAGGUUGAAACUCAAAUGAAUCGACGG
rnacentral:rRNA from 1 species